rnacentral:rRNA from 1 species
ACCUGGUUGAUCCUGCCAGUAGUCAUAUGCUUGUCUCAAAGAUUAAGCCAUGCAUGUCCAAGUAUAAACAAUUAUACAGUGAAACUGCGAAUGGCUCGUUAAAUCAGUUAUAGUUUAUUUGAUGAUACCUUACUACAUGGAUAACUGUGGUAAUUCUAGAGCUAAUACAUGCCGAGACAGCCCCUUUCUUUAUUGAUAGGGGUGCAUUUAUUAGAUAAAAACCAAUGGCCUUGUGCUGACGAUGCUUCAUUCAAAUAUCUGCCCUAUCAACUUUUGAUGGUAGGAUAGAGGCCUACCAUGAUGAUGACGGGUAACAGGGAAUAAGGGUUCGAUUCCGGAGAGAGGGCCUGAGAAACGGCCCUCAAAUCUAAGGAUUGCAGCAGGCGCGCAAAUUACCCAAUCCUGACAUGGGGAGGUAGUGACAAUAAAUAACAAUGUAGGGCUCUUUAGGGUCUUACAAUUGGAAUGAGUACAAUUUAAAUUUCUUAACGAGGAUCAAUUGGAGGGCAAGUCUGGUGCCAGCAGCCGCGGUAAUUAUAUCUUGGUAGAGGCCGGAGGAGUCGGUGAGGUAGGGUUGGUUCUUUCACCAUUUUUGGCUUUGAGUGAUAAACAUUGAUUUGGGUGAUUCCGUGAUCUGUGUCCCUGUCUUCAGCUCGAGUGUAGUGAUACUGACACCGGAUGCAGCUUCCAUGGCCUGUUAAUGUGGAUCAGUAUAAUUGAGCUUUGUCACCGUUGUAACAGCACCUCCAAGUGGUCUCCCUGGGCCUCAUGUACAGAGAUGCUAAACCUGUUACAACAAAAGAACAUCCUUUGAAAGGAAUUGACACCUUCAAAAACCUUCAUAAUUAUCAUAACCUGAUAAUGUUUAUAUUGACAAUUUGGAUAAAAGCUUAUAGAUAAUUAACCAAAGGGUUAAUAAUCGAAGAAGCACCAAGAUGGUACAAUAUGCCCUUUGAAACUAUCUUACAAUAGUAUUCAAUUGUUUAGACAUCAAGACCUUCAAAUGAUCCUUGCGCCUUCAUAGAAAUUAUUCCUCAACCAAAUAAUAUGGUCAUUAACCAAAGGUUGAAGAUUGUAAUAAACGCCUAAGUGAGUAUGACAUAAACCCCAAAGAUCCUCACCAGACUAUCAUUUGAACAACCGCCAUUGAAACUACCCCAUUUGUCUGAAAAGUCGGGUAAAAGCCUAUUUAUGAUAACCAGUCAUGAGACUGAAGAAGGAGAUGGCGCCUGGAUGAGAAAGAUAACCCACUGAGAUGAUCAACCCCCAUUAAAGGACUAUACAACUCCUUCAUAUCAGGAAACUUGGUAACAGUCUGCCUAUGAUAAACCGCUCCUAACACUGAAGAAGGAGAUAGCACAAAACAAAAUGAGGAGUGACCUACGUAAGAUAAACCACUGGAUUCAGUCAACAAUACGGAUGAUCAACUUAAAUCAAAAGAACAUACAAAUCCUUGAUAUCCAAACGGUUUGGUAAAAGCCUAUUUAUGAUAACCAGCACCUAAUGCUGAAGAAGGAGAUAGUACCAAACCAAGUAGGGUCUCACCUAUGUGAUGGACUGGCUACACAGACUAUCAAAACACAAUUCAGUUAAAGCAAAACCGCUUGAACCCUCCAAAGUUUUUCCCAGCCAUGCAAGCAGUCUAUUCAUGAUAACCAACCCAAAUGUUGAAGGAGGCGUUAGCACCAAGCCUAUUACAAUAUUGACCUACACGAUGAUCUGAU